rnacentral:rRNA from 1 species
UAGAGUUUGAUCCUGGCUCAGAAUGAACGCUGGCGGCGUGCUUAACACAUGCAAGUCGUACGAGAACUCUUCUGCUUGCAGAAGAUAGUAAAGUGGCGUACGGGUGAGUAACGCGUGGGUAAUCUACCUCCGACUUUGGGAUAACAUUGCGAAAGCGAUGCUAAUACCGGAUAAUAUCUUAAUAGCUUCGGCUUUUUUGAUCAAAGGUGGCCUCUACAUGUAAGCUUCUGAUUGGAGAUGAGCCCGCGUACCAUUAGCUUGUUGGUAGGGUAAUGGCCUACCAAGGCUACGAUGGUUAGCUGGUCUGAGAGGAUGAUCAGCCACACUGGAACUGACACACGGUCCAGACUCCUACGGGAGGCAGCAGUGAGGAAUUUUGCGCAAUGGGGGAAACCCUGACGCAGCAACGCCGCGUGAGUGAUGAAGGCUUUCGGGUCGUAAAGCUCUGUCGAGUGGGAAGAAAAACCAGAUACCAAUAAUAUCUGGGAUUGACGGUACCACUGAAGGAAGCACCGGCUAACUCCGUGCCAGCAGCCGCGGUAAUACGGGGGGUGCGAGCGUUAUUCGGAAUUAUUGGGCGUAAAGAGCGCGUAGGCGGCCCUAUAAGUCAGAUGUGAAAGCCCGGGGCUCAACCCCGGAAGUGCAUUUGAAACUAUAGGGCUUGAGUAUGGGAGAGGGAAGUGGAA